GUAAACAUCCCCUAUAAGAGAGCCCUAAGGUUGGAUAGCACUAGAUGUCGAGCGAAGGCUCCAGAUGGCCGGCCUCGUAUAGCAAAGAGCGAAGUCAGGCGUAACACCAUCAAUUGGUAGGUCUCUCUCUCUAUAUAUCUGGUGCGAAUGUCACCCUGUGAAUUUGAAUCCUAGACCAGUGCCAACCAUCAUGAAGAAGUGCCAACCAACACUGCUCAGGCACUCUUUUUUACAUGUUUUCCAUGGACAAAGUUAUUUUCAGCUUCAUGAAUUAGACCUCCCCCCAAUUUCAUCAUCUAGUAGGAUUCUGCAACAGUUCCUCUUUUAAUUUUUAGAUUACGCAAAAUGGGAUUUCAUCCAUGGUUGCCAUUCACAGCCGCUUCCCAGUUGCCAUACAGAGAUCGUAUCAGCCAAGACAAGAGGGCAAGAUCCACGCAGGAUUUUAUAUUCCAGUACGAUAAAAGGGGCAACAUGACAGACAUCUUGCUAUACAAAUAUUCAAGGGACCUAUCGCUAUAUCUCACGGACUCACCUUGGAUUCCAAUAAAUCAUCAAAUCUUAUCUUCUGUUGCACAAAUUUGAUUGUUAGGAGAGAAAAAGGCUUUUUCCUUUGUAUGAUGGAAGCUGAUCUUGGAAAGGCGUUCUCUGGGCAAGGGGCUGGGUUGCAAACAGGCAGCCAGCAGAAAGCAUAAUUAAAAUAAUAGCUGUGGUUGUAUACCAAUGACUCGGCCUUUUUUCUUUUUUUUUUUGGUUUUUCCGGAGGGCCACCUAAUAUGCUUAUAUAACUUUCUGGAGACUAAAUAAAGCUUGGAAUGGCAAGCAAAGCUAAUAAAUUAGCAACUUCAAACUCAUUUCAUGG
rnacentral:lncRNA from 1 species